UACUAAUAUAAAUAUAUCAAUAACUAAGGCUAAAUACUAUCGAAGACUUCUACAGACUAUAGUAAUACACACAUACACUUAUUAUGUGUUAGUUGAAUAGUAUGUACGAGGAUUCUACAUAUAUAGUAAUUGCCAUAUACAGUUGUAUAAUAUGUAUUUAUGCGCAGAGCAUACAUAAUUCUAUUGAGUACAUUACUUGUCGCCUGUGGUUCAGGUCAAUCAUCAAUAAAGGUUGGUAUUCUUCCUAUAAUUGUCGCAAUAACCAAUGUCUGAAGUCGAACAGAAUAGUUGUUCAGUUCGUGAAGUAUUCUUUUGUCUUGUAGUUUUCGAUUGUGAUGGUAAGUUAUAAGCAUAUUUUCUGACCUCUGAUUCAGACCUUGCGCCUCUAAAUGUACGAAUUUUUCAGUCGAGGUGUAUCCAGUUUAUUUUGUAAUUUCGAAGUAUUAAGGGUAGGUGGAACUAAACAUUAAGCUUAACACUAUCUUCGAUGUCUCUUACUUUGAUCCAGUGGUUUCUAAUUAUUUUCAGUAUGAGGAGGUCAAUUCUUAUCAUAUUAGCUUUGUCGUGUAGAUCGCCUUUGUUAACAUAUUUUGUAUCGACCUUUGCCCGUGACUUCAUUUACGUUUGGACUCUGUGAGUUUGUCGGAUAUUUAUUAUAUUUAUUUUCCUGUAUUUGUUUUUUACCAUCUGUAUACAAGGCCGCCAUCUCAAGCAUUAUCUGAUACUUUGUCCAGGUCAAUUAGUACUGCCCGCAGCAUUGAUUUAUAUUGUUUGUCCAAUAAAUAUCAUAUGUAAACUGUGUUGUGCUUGAAUUAGUUACAUAAUGAGCUUAUUGGUUUCAAUUUACUUUGGUGGAAUUAUGGCUUAGAAUACUCUGCUUAUUUUCAGAUAAUAAACAAAUAGCACGAUCAUUCGACAAGAUUAUCUUCUUGCAGAUGAUUCAUGGGGAGAGGUUUGCAGUUAUCCAGGAAAGUAUUUCAUAUUUAAACAGUUGUUGAAUGAUACUGUUUAGUGGUUUGUUAAUGUUAACUAUAGCUUCCAUGUAGUGCCAUUUCAAAUGCGAUGUCCACAACUGUGACUCCCUCUUGUAAGUAUUUAAUCAAGUGAUUUUCCCAAUGAAAUAGCCAACCUACAUAUUGGUAGACCAACAGGAUGAGAGAACUUAUAGAUACUCAACAUACUGACUCAACUGUUUCACAUUUUUCGCAAGUGAAUGUGGCUGAUCUGUAACGUGCAUAUACAUACUUACAUCAACACACAUACGUGUACACAUAUACGCGUACAUACAUUCGAUGGAUACGAAAGCACAAUGAAGAUGAAACUGUUAAUGUGGGGCAAACAAUUGCGAGAAUUUGAUGACGGAGAUAAUUUUAUGGCGCACAUUUCCGUAGUUAAAAGGCUAUUUCUGAGUCAACGCUUUUAAUUUUCCAUGUUUAUGGUGUUCUUAAUAGGAGGAUCUGACCUUUGGAAUCUAUUAUAGCAACGAUCGUAACAUUCGAUGAAGAUCGACAGAAUUUUCAUUACGUUCUUCCACGGGACUAUCGAAUGGCAGAAAAAUUUAGUCUGUUCACGAGAGUACCGUAUCUCCUCGUGUGGCUUGGUUUGGCUUACAAUCUCAAAGUUGCAUCACCUAGCGCCAUUCAAGGGCAAAUGAAAAGGCAUGGCGAUAAAUCUGAUCAAAAAUUACUCGUCAAGAAAGUCAUUCGAUUUCAACGACAGCGCGACGAGACGUAAGGGAAAAAUCAAUUUGGAGAUAUAAAUUUGGUAUUGAAUAUAUGAUGAAGAUGUAUUUGACAUGGUUUGAAGAAAACAUAGAAUGUCAAAAAAGAUAUAA
rnacentral:lncRNA from 1 species